AGGCAGCAGUGGGGAAUAUUGGACAAUGGGGGCAACCCUGAUCCAGCCAUGCCGCGUGUGUGAAGAAGGCCUUCGGGUUGUAAAGCACUUUAAGCGAGGAGGAAGGUCUUUGAAUUAAUACUUCAAAGAAUUGACGUUACUCGCAGAAUAAGCACCGGCUAACUCUGUGCCAGCAGCCGCGGUAAUACAGAGGGUGCAAGCCGUUAAUCGGAAUUACUGGGCGUAAAGCGCGCGUAGGCGGUAUGUUAAGUCGGAUGUGAAAUCCCCUGGGCUCAACCUAGGCAUUGCAUCCGAUACUGGCACACUAGAGUGUGGGAGAGGAAGGUAGAAUUCCAGGUGUAGCGGUGAAAUGCGUAGAGAUCUGGAGGAAUACCGAUGGCGAAGGCAGCCUUCUGGCCUAACACUGACGCUGAGGUGCGAAAGCAUGGGGAGCAAACAGGAUUAGAUACCCUGGUAGUCCAUGCCGUAAACGAUGUCAACUAGCCGUUGGGCUCCUUGAGGGCUUAGUGGCGCAGCUAACGCGAUAAGUUGACCGCCUGGGGAGUACGGUCGCAAGACUAAAACUCAAAUGAAUUGACGGGGGC
rnacentral:rRNA from 1 species